GACGAACGCUGGCGGCGUGCCUAAUACAUGCAAGUAGAACGCACAGUUUAUACCGUAGCUUGCUACACCAUACACUGUGAGUUGCGAACGGGUGAGUAACGCGUAGGUAACCUGCCUGGUAGCGGGGGAUAACUAUUGGAAACGAUAGCUAAUACCGCAUAAUAUUGAUUAUUGCAUGAUAAUUGAUUGAAAGGUGCUAUUGCAUCACUACCAGAUGGACCUGCGUUGUAUUAGCUAGUAGGUGAGGUAACGGCUCACCUAGGCGACGAUACAUAGCCGACCUGAGAGGGUGAUCGGCCAAACUGGGACUGAGACACGGCCCAGACUCCUACGGGAGGCAGCAGUAGGGAAUCGUCGGCAAUGGACGAAAGUCUGACCGAGCAACGCCGCGUGAGUGAAGAAGGUUUUCGGAUCGUAAAGCUCUGUUGUAAGAGAAGAACGGGUGUGAGAGUGGAAAGUUCACACUGUGACGGUAUCUUACCAGAAAGGGACGGCUAACUACGUG
rnacentral:rRNA from 1 species